UAAGAACGUGUGCCAACCGCGAGAGGCGGGAUAUAAAAACGUGCAUCAUGGUCGGGUAACGGGGAGUUAAAGGUGUCAUAGGAUCGAGUCGGUCUAGUAUGAGGAGACGGUUCAGUCUAGGGUUUAACGUGUGUGGCAAUGAGUGGGAUCAUUGUAUUGAUUGAUCGCUAGGUUGCUAGAAAUGUAUGGAGUUGAAUGUUUGGAAAUAAUGAUGAUGAUAUGAAAUGAUGAAAAUACAUUACCUGAUUGUAGUGGCUAGUCAGUCCUAGUUCCCGCAUAGAGUAGUAUAGAGUGUCAUGCGGACAGGCUGGUCUAGAGCCACUUCACUGAGUAACUUGUUGCUCA
rnacentral:lncRNA from 1 species